rnacentral:tRNA from 2 species
GGCUUUAUAUUCAAUUAUGAUUUUAGACUGCAAUUCUGAAGGUGUAUAUUAUACUAAAGCCU